UACGUAGGGUGCGAGCGUUGUCCGGAAUUAUUGGGCGUAAAGGGCUCGUAGGCGGUUUGUCACGUCAGGAGUGAAAACUCGGGGCUCAACCCCGAGCCUGCUUCUGAUACGGGCAGACUAGAGGUAUGCAGGGGAGAACGGAAUUCCUGGUGUAGCGGUGAAAUGCGCAGAUAUCAGGGGGAACACCGGUGGCGAAGGCGGUUCUCUGGGCAUUACCUGACGCUGAGGAGCGAAAGUGUGGGGAGCGAACAGG
rnacentral:rRNA from 1 species